AGCAGUGUGGCUUAGUGGAAAGAGCAUAGGUUGGGGAAUCAGAAGGACCUGGGUUCUAAUCCUGGCUCUGCCA
rnacentral:tRNA from 1 species